UACGAAGGGGGCUAGCGUUGUUCGGAAUUAUUGGGCGUAAAGGGUGCGUAGGCGGUUCCGCAAGUCCUGUGUGAAAUCUUCGGGCUCAACUCGAAGUCUGCACGGGAAACUGCGGGGCUUUGAGUGUGGGAGAGGUGAGUGGAAUUCCCGGUGUAGCGGUGAAAUGCGUAGAUAUCAGGAGGAACACCUGUGGUGUAGACAGCUUACUGGACCAUUUCUGACGCUGAGACACGAAAGCGUGGGUAGCAAACAGG
rnacentral:rRNA from 1 species